rnacentral:rRNA from 1 species
AUGAACGCUGGCGGCGUGCCUCAUCCCUGCCAGUCGAGCGAACAGACGAGGAGCUUGCUCCUCUGACGUUAGCGGCGGACGGGUGAGUAACACGUGGAUAACCUACCUAUAAGACUGGGAUAACUUCGGGAAACCGGAGCUAAUACCGGAUAAUAUAUUGAACCGCAUGGUUCAAUAGUUAAAGACGGUUUUGCUGUCACUUAUAGAUGGAUCCGCGCCGCAUUAGCUAGUUGGUAAGGUAACGGCUUACCAAGGCAACGAUGCGUAGCCGACCUGAGAGGGUGAUCGGCCACACUGGAACUGAGACACGGUCCAGACUCCUACGGGAGGCAGCAGUAGGGAAUCUUCCGCAAUGGGCGAAAGCCUGACGGAGCAACGCCGCGUGAGUGAUGAAGGUCUUCGGAUCGUAAAACUCUGUUAUUAGGGAAGAACAAAUGUGUAAGUAACUAUGCACGUCUUGACGGUACCUAAUCAGAAAGCCACGGCUAACUACGUG